rnacentral:rRNA from 1 species
AGUCGCCGCGGUAAUGCGAAGGGUGCAAGCGUUAAUCGGAAUUACUGGGCGUAAAGCGUGCGUAGGCGGUGAGUUAAGUCUGCUGUGAAAUCCCCGGGCUCAACCUGGGAAUGGCAGUGGAUACUGGCUCGCUAGAGUGUGUCAGAGGAUGGUGGAAUUCCCGGUGUAGCGGUGAAAUGCGUAGAGAUCGGGAGGAACAUCAGUGGCGAAGGCGGCCAUCUGGGACAACACUGACGCUGAGGCACGAAAGCGUGGGGAGCAAACAGGAUUAGAUACCCCCGUAGUCCCUGUCUCUUAUACA